rnacentral:rRNA from 1 species
GAUGAACGCUAGUGGCAGGCCUAGCACAUGCAAGUCGAGGGGUAGAAGUUUCUUGCAACUUUGAGACCGGCGCACGGUUGCGUAACGCGUAUUCAAUCUGCCUUGUACUGAGGGAAAGCCCAGAGAACUUUGGAUUAAUACCUCCUAACAUUAUGAUGUGGCAUCACAUUAAAAUUAAAGUUCCAACGGUACAAGAUAAGCAUGCGUCCCAUUAGCUAGUUGGUAAGGUAACGGCUUACCAAGACGAUGAUGGGUAGUGGUCCUGAGAGGGAGAUCCCCCACACUGGUACUGAGACACGGACCAGACUCCUACGGGAGGCAGCAGUGAGGAAUAUUGGUCAAUGUGCGCAAGCCUGAACAAGCCAUGCCGCGUGCAGGAUGACGCAUCUAUGGUGUGUAAACUGCUUUUGUACAGGAAGAAACACUCCCUCGUGAGGGAGCUUGACGGUACUGUAAGAAUAAGGAUCGGCUAACUCCGUGCCAGCAGCCGCGGUAA